rnacentral:lncRNA from 1 species
GGACCAAAAAAUUGUAACUAAAUUAUUUUUAAGAAAGUUCCAUGGAUGAGAUUGUAUGAAUGAAGUUUGUGAAUGAACUUUUAUCAACCUCUGUAUACACUACCACCUCUAUAUCCAUAACCACCAUAACUUCCACUCAUGUAUCCACAACCACCCCCACCAUACCACCACAACCUCCACCUUUCGAAUAACCACAUCCACCAUCAUUGUAUCCACGAGUCUCUUGUAUCUACCCUCACGUUUUCCAUCUUCGUAACCACCUUCUCCUCCAUAACCACCACAGCCUCCACUGGAUCUAUCUUCUUCAUCAUCAAAGAGAUUGUUGGACAUGGAAAUUGCUGGAUAUGAAAAGCAUGGGCGACAUGUGAAUAAAAUGUUGCAGGAGAGACAUUGGCUUCACUGUUAUGCUUAAGAAGAAAAUCAAAAAAAAAAUAUUUCUUAUUUUCUUGUAUAUCAAUUAAAAAUAAGCAUAAAAGAGGGAAAAAAAAGAAAUCUGUAUAUGAAAUUCAUAGUUCAAUUAAAAGUAAACCUUGGAUGUAUUCGUCAGUAAAGAUCUGGAAUUUUCCAACCAGAGAUUUCAGAAUAGAUUUUUCUUAGCUCCCAAUCUGAGGCUUCCAUGAAUUUUAGAUUAAAUGGAAAAAGAUAAAGACGCGAUAACAAAAAUUAGUGAUUUAAAAUUAUAAAGAAAAAGUCUGCAAAUUUAGCGAAGAAGAAGAUUCAAAAGGAUGUGGAAGAUGAGAGAUGAAGAUGACAGACAGAUUGAGGCAAGAUUA